rnacentral:sRNA from 2 species
AUGCACGAAAGCAACGAAAGCCCUGCCUCUCAGUCGUUCUUGCGGCUCCAAUGACCGCGCCAGUCUUGAAUUCGUGUCCUUCCAGCAGCCU